rnacentral:rRNA from 1 species
ACAUGCAAGUCGAGCGGAUGAGAAGAGCUUGCUCUUCGAUUCAGCGGCGGACGGGUGAGUAAUGCCUAGGAAUCUGCCUGGUAGUGGGGGACAACGUUUCGAAAGGAAGCUAAUACCGCAUACGUCCUACGGGAGAAAGCAGGGGACCUUCGGGCCUUGCGCUAUCAGAUGAGCCUAGGUCGGAUUAGCUAGUUGGUGAGGUAAUGGCUCACCAAGGCUACGAUCCGUAACUGUCUGAGAGGAUGAUCAGUCACACUGGAACUGAGACACGGUCCAGACUCCUACGGGAGGCAGCAGUGGGGAAUAUUGGACAAUGGGCGAAAGCCUGAUCCAGCCAUGCCGCGUGUGUGAAGAAGGUCUUAGGAUCGUAAAGCACUUUAAGUUGGGAGGAAGGGCAGUAACUUAAUACGUUGCUGUUUUGACGUUACCGACAGAAUAAGCACCGGCUAACUCUGUGCCAGCAGCCGCGGUAAUACAGAGGGUGCAACGUUAAUCGGAAUUACUGGGCGUAAAGCGCGCGUAGGUUGGUUCGUUAAGUUGGAUGUGAAAUCCCCGGGCUCAACCUGGGAACUGCAUUCAAAACUGGUCGAGCUAGAAUAUGGUAAAAGGGUGGGGAAUUUCCUGUGUAGCGGUGAAAUGCGUAGAUAUAGGAAGGAACACCAGUGGCGAAGGCAACCACCUGGACUGGAUACUGGACACUGAGGUGCGA